UACUUGUUUACCACUCCACUGCUACCACCUUGUUCUAAUUCAUCAUCUUUUCUUGCCGUAACUAAUGCAGUUGUCUCCAGACAAGUUUCCCUGCCUUGCCUUGCCUACUCCAGCCCUCCCACCCCCCAUCAAACCUCCAAACAGGAGACAUCUUUUACUUAGUUCAGAUCAUAUCAACUGUUCAACUGAAAACCUGUUAAUGGUUUCCCAUCUCACAGAGGAAACCCUAUAAACGUAGGUCUAUGGCUCUCUGUGAUCUGACUCUCCCACAACCCCACUACACCUGCCGGACCCCAAAUCCUAUCUCAAGGCCUUUGCCCUUGCCAUUUCCUCUGCCUAGAACCAUAAUCCCCUGCUCAGGGUCAUCUCAUCUUCCCUGAUCACCUGCUCUAAAAUGGCAAAUCCUCUUUGUUCCUUCCAGAUCCUGUUUUCUUUUUCUUUGUGACUCUUAUGACUACCCAUGGAGUAUUUGUUGCCAGAUGCCCCUACCCCACUAGAAAGUAAUACCUUGAGGAUAGGGAUGUCUUUUGAGAUCUUUCUCCAUUUUCAGGGCAGUCAAUAAAUACUAGUUGAGAGGAUAAACGAAUGGAUGAAUGAAUGAAACAGGAGGAAGAGAAAGAGAGACAGAGACAGGAAGACAGAGAAAGACCCAGAGGGGAGAACUGUUGGAGUCGCCAUGCUUGAAAUGCCCUGCGGACAAUGACUUGGAUGAGAAACAUGAACAGACUUCUCCGAAGAUACAUAAUACUAAAGAGCAAGUCAGUGGCAUGUUGCAAUCCAAUCUGAACACAGAUGAAUUUUGAGGUUUCAUGUUACGAUAAACAAAUGUUUCCUACUCUAUCGAUGCUGUAAAUUUGCAAACUAUGACUAUAUUGAAUUUACUGACAAGGAGUGACACCUGCAGCUAAUUUUGAUAUCAUCGACAACAAUAGGAAAAGACAUAGUGAAGGACAUCAGAGAAGAAAGACAGAAUGUUAAAGAUGGGGGAAACACAGCACCAAAGUGUUGACAUGGCUCUUUGAGAUCCUUUAGCGCAUCUAGGUUAUCCUGUGACCAGCUCAUGGAAGAACUGAGUAAGGUACUUUGUGGUGAAAUGUAACAUGGAAGUCAGACUCUUUCUCCAUGGAACUCUUCAGAAAAACCACCUCCUGUGACCGCUCUAUGAGAAUAAUUCAUAAAGGCAGCCCAUAUCCUCUGAUCUAGCUUUGCAAAAAUAAUUUCAAACAGUAUUUACAGGAAAACAUAAAAUCUACAUG
rnacentral:lncRNA from 12 species